AUUGUCGCCACCAAAACUGUUUUGGCGGCGACAAUUUGUCGCCGCAUGCCGCCGCCUAUAACCCCGUCGGUAAAAGUAUUUGGUGGCGACAAAAUGUCGCCGCUAAAAGUUAGAUAAUUAGCGGCGACAACCUGUCGCCGCGAAAAUUAGAGAAUUAGUGGCGACAUCAUGUCGCCGCUAAAAGUUUGAAAAACUUAGAUAAUUAAUGGCGACAAUUUGUCGCCACUAAAAGUUAAAUAAUUAGCUACUUUUUUUCUGAUGAAAAAUUACUUNCGUAGGGGUGCUAGAGCCGCAGGCGGUGGAGGCGCGGGGCUCGCUUCCGAUGAAGAUGGAGGCGCGGGGCUUGGCGAAGGCGCGGGUGGCGGAGGCGGAGGGGACGAAGAGCUAGGGAAAGAUAGAGAGAAAGAGAAGUGAACGAGAUAGGUUUGAGAUGGGUUUAGCUUCAAGGUUAAAAUUUUUUACUAUUUUUAUAUGUAAAAAGACAAUAAAGCCCCCACUAUUUUAUAUAAUGUAUAGAGUAACUGAGGGUAAAUUGGUCUUUUUGCAUAGAGUAGGUGAGUGCUGAAAAAAUAGGAGGGAAAAUGUGGCGCGGUAAAUAAAGAGAUAACAUGGCGACAAAUUAUCGCCACGAAUACUCUAUUUUUCAGCGGCGACACUUAUACGUCGCCGCAAAAGAAUCCCUAUCGGUGGCGACUCUUGAUUGUCGCCGCCAAAGAAUCCACUAUUUAAGGCGCGGUAAAUAAAGAGAUAACGUGGCGACAAAUUAUCGCCACGAAUACUCCAUUUUUCGGCGAUGACACUUAUACGUCGCCGCCAAAGAAUCCCUAUUGGUGGCGACUCUUGAUUGUCGCCGCCAAAGAAUACCUAUCGGCGGCGACACUUAUAUGUCGCCGCUAAAGAAUCCCGUAUCGGUGGCGACUCUUAUACGUCGCCACCAUUUUCUAUGAAUUGGCGGCGACAAAAAAAUGUCGCCACCAUAUGUAAUAUAUUGGUGGCGACAAUGCUUGUCGCCACCAAAAAGUCGCCACUGAAAAGCAUUUUUGUUGUAGUGAUUUAUAUUUAUUCUCCAAACCUUUAAUAAAAGAAUAUUAAUUUGUUGGUUGGCUUAAUACGACUGCUAAAAUUAAUAAAAACAAAGAAAAAUAUUAAAGAAUAUAUAUUAAGGGGGAGUUGAGCUAGAAUACUAUCGGUAGCAAACUGAUUCCGUUGCCACCUAUUUGUUUUUAAUGAUGAAGCCUCUAAAUCGACUAUCUGUACUGUUGAACAUGAUCUAUACUACUUGAAUCAUCUAAAACCUAAAUUUUAUGCUCUUUCGAUCUUUUUUUUUUUUUUGAGAGAAAGGUAGCACGUCACCCGCUUCAUUCAUUCAGCAAAUAAAAUUAGCUACAAAGGGUGAGGCAGCUAAGGCCUCAAAAAGGCGCGAAGAACAGAAAAAGAAAGAGGGUAGCAAAAGGGAAAAAAGAAAAAGAGAAAAAUCCACGACCACAGGCGACAAAAACACUAUACAGCCCAACAAGUAAAACGUCACCCAGCUCGACUGAAGUCAGCCCACUCUUUUGCCAACACUCCAAUGCUUUUUCGAUAUUGUUCUCUUGUUUAUCAAGUGGACACAAAAAUAAACUGCUGAAAAUGAAUAUCUUCUGAAAAGUGAUGAUAGGAGUUUUGUAAUCAAGAUCGAGAGUAUAUAUAGAUCUUGUUCUAAAUAGUUUAAAAAAUUUUCUAACUAAAAUUUAAUUGAUUUGGAUAUCUUUACACCGUUAAACGAGAAAACGCCUCAUAUCGACCAUUAAAAUUAUAAAAUUUGAAUUAUCACUUUGAUCAUUAGGUCAAUAAUGUCGAAAAGAUUUAAAAUUUAAUUUUUAAAUUUUUUAAGUGGUAUAUAUAGAUCAUAUUCAACAACACCGAUUAUUAAUUUGGAGGCUUCAUUAUAAAAAAUAAAUAAUUAAUAACGAAGUUCGUUUGCUAUCGAUAAUAUUCUAACUCAACUUGUAUCAAAGGAUAGGGGAAAACUUGUUAUAUAUUGUACGUACUCUGGAACUAGGGGUCAGAGUUAAUGUCUACGUACGUACAAGCUCAAACCACAUGCAACAAUAAUAGCAUAUAAAGAAGAACGUACAU
rnacentral:lncRNA from 1 species